GUUUGGAAAAAAACCUAAAUCCAAAUAUCCCCAUCUGGCAUAAUCCCUGAUGGUAAUUGAGUCAUGUAUGGUGUAAAAAAAAUGAUCUAAUUGGCAACUUUAGGUUCUUAUUUGUUGUUUUUUGCCUCUGCAGAAACCAGUGCAGCCGAUGCAAACAAAGUGACGAAUGCCGUUGUAACAAAAAAACGGAGGAAGAAAGAUGAGGAUGAAUUUGCGUCUACACGCAUUUACUACACUUUGGGCCUGGGAGACACUGAACAGCUGGAGCAUGCAGCAGGUACCAACCCAUCAUUAACAGAGAAUGCCUUAUACGC